rnacentral:rRNA from 1 species
UACGAAGGGGGCGAGCGUUGUUCGGAAUCACUGGGCGUAAAGGGCGCGUAGGCGGCCCUCCUUGUCGCGUGUGAAAGCCCCGGGCUCAACCUGGGAACGGCGCGCGAGACGGGGGGGCUGGAGUUCGGGAGAGGAGGCGUGGAAUUCCCGAGUGUAGAGGUGAAAUUCGUAGAUAUUGGGAAGAACACCGGGUGGCGAAAGGCGGGUCUCUGGGCGAGUGAACUG